AGAGUUUGAUCCUGGCUCAGAUUGAACGCUGGCGGCACGCCUUACACAUGCAAGUCGAACGGUAACGCGGGGCAACCUGGCGACGAGUGGCGAACGGGUGAGUAAUGCAUCGGAACGUGCCCAGUAGUGGGGGAUAGCCCGGCGAAAGCCGGAUUAAUACCGCAUACGACCUAAGGGUGAAAGCGGGGGAUCGCAAGACCUCGCGCUAUUGGAGCGGCCGAUGUCAGAUUAGGUUGUUGGUGGGGUAAAAGCCUACCAAGCCGACGAUCUGUAGCUGGUCUGAGAGGACGACCAGCCACACUGGGACUGAGACACGGCCCAGACUCCUACGGGAGGCAGCAGUGGGGAAUAUUGCGCAAUGGGGGAAACCCUGACGCAGCAACGCCGCGUGUGUGAAGAAGGCCUUCGGGUCGUAAAGCACUGUUGGGAGGAACGAGCCGCUCAAGUAACCCUUGAGCCCGACGGUACCUCCUGAGGAAGCACCGGCUAACUCCGUGCCAGCAGCCGCGGUAA
rnacentral:rRNA from 1 species